GCCCGGGUGGCGGAACUGGUAGACGCACGUGACUCAAAAUCACGUGGCCCCCGCGGCCGUGUGGGUUCGAGUCCCACCCCGGGCACCU
rnacentral:tRNA from 1 species